rnacentral:rRNA from 1 species
CGCUGGCGGCGCGCCUAACACAUGCAAGUCGAACGAGAGAUGAGGAGCUUGCUCUUCAAAUCGAGUGGCGAACGGGUGAGUAACGCGUGAGGAACCUGCCUCAAAGAGGGGGACAACAGUUGGAAACGACUGCUAAUACCGCAUAAGCCCACAGCUCGGCAUCGAGCAGAGGGAAAAGGAGCAAUCCGCUUUGAGAUGGCCUCGCGUCCGAUUAGCUAGUUGGUGAGGUAACGGCCCACCAAGGCAACGAUCGGUAGCCGGACUGAGAGGUUGAACGGCCACAUUGGGACUGAGACACGGCCCAGACUCCUACGGGAGGCAGCAGUGGGGAAUAUUGCACAAUGGGGGAAACCCUGAUGCAGCGACGCCGCGUGGAGGAAGAAGGUCUUCGGAUUGUAAACUCCUGUUGUUGAGGAAGAUAAUGACGGUACUCAACAAGGAAGUGACGGCUAACUACGUGCCAGCAGCCGCGGUAAAACGUAGGUCACAAGCGUUGUCCGGAAUUACUGGGUGUAAAGGGAGCGCAGGCGGGAGAACAAGUUGGAAGUGAAAUCCAUGGGCUCAACCCAUGAACUGCUUUCAAAACUGUUUUUCUUGAGUAGUGCAGAGGUAGGCGGAAUUCCCGGUGUAGCGGUGGAAUGCGUAGAUAUCGGGAGGAACACCAGUGGCGAAGGCGGCCUACUGGGCACCAACUGACGCUGAGGCUCGAAAGUGUGGGUAGCAAACAGGAUUAGAUACCCUGGUAGUCCACACCGUAAACGAUGAUUACUAGGUGUUGGAGGAUUGACCCCUUCAGUGCCGCAGUUAACACAAUAAGUAAUCCACCUGGGGAGUACGACCGCAAGGUUGAAACUCAAAGGAAUUGACGGGGGCCCGCACAAGCAGUGGAGUAUGUGGUUUAAUUCGACGCAACGCGAAGAACCUUACCAAGUCUUGACAUCCCUUGACGAACAUAGAAAUAUGUUUUCUCUUCGGAGCAAGGAGACAGGUGGUGCAUGGUUGUCGUCAGCUCGUGUCGUGAGAUGUUGGGUUAAGUCCCGCAACGAGCGCAACCCUUAUGGUCAGUUACUACGCAAGAGGACUCUGGCCAGACUGCCGUUGACAAAACGGAGGAAGGUGGGGAUGACGUCAAAUCAUCAUGCCCUUUAUGACUUGGGCUACACACGUACUACAAUGGCGUUAAACAAAGAGAAGCAAGACCGCGAGGUGGAGCAAAACUCAGAAACAACGUCCCAGUUCGGACUGCAGGCUGCAACUCGCCUGCACGAAGUCGGAAUUGCUAGUAAUCGUGGAUCAGCAUGCCACGGUGAAUACGUUCCCGGGCCUUGUACACAC